AGAGAUGUUGAGAGAUCAACCAGGAGACUGUGGGAGGAUGUGAGCUCUCUGAGAAGGAGAAGAAGUAUUUACAUUAGAAGUCUGAUUCACAGGUCGGGGCAAAGUGAAAAACAUCUGCACUUUUAAAAGAGAGGUCAAAAGUCCGUCUGACUCACCUGUGCUGAGUGACUUGAAUGCCAUCUAAUCUAACUUCAAGAUCAUCAGGAUACUUGCCAACAAGGUCACAGUGGACUCCAUGGAGCAACUGCCCUCAGGAGGCAACAGGACAAUAUUUGAGAAAAAGAAAGAGAAGAGGAUGGACUUUUUAGACUCAGCUAUACUGCUGAGUUCAAAUGUCUUGGAACUUAGUAGCUGUUCUUUUUGAGGGGAGUCUCUCUGAUGCUUGGAAUGAAUCCUGCUGAAUCAAUGCUGAUGCUUGGAGAUCUUCAAGUCUUUUCCCUUUUUCCCAUUGCUCAUGAUGUCUAUAUAACCUCCAAACAUGCAUCCCACUCCUCUGCCGAAAGACCAUUUUUUUAUAUCUUCAGUGAUGGUCUAGGCCAGGUUAAUUGACUUUUCUUUUUUCUUAAGCCAACUAAAGUCCUCACCACAAAUUAA
rnacentral:lncRNA from 1 species